rnacentral:misc_RNA from 1 species
AGCUAAAAAAGAAUAAUAUUUUUUUCUGCAAAGAAAUGAUUGAGAGAAUUGUAAGUGUUGUCUUCUUCUUCUACUACCUCUGAAAUUCCUAUAAUUUGCUUAAUUUUCUCUUUUCUCUCUCUUACACUGUCGGUGGACUGGUUCUCUAGCCUUUCACACUCACAGCAGCUGCGGCAUCGCUUUCCUUUCUAAUUUUUCUCUAUUAUAUCACAUCACUAUGUAUUCAUUUACAGCUAUACUGCAUCUGUAUCACUCUCUCUAGAUAACACAAACAGAGACAGAGACAGGGAGAGAGAGUGAGA